rnacentral:rRNA from 1 species
GAUGAACGCUGGCGGCGUGCCUAAUACAUGCAAGUCGAGCGAACGGACGAGAAGCUUGCUUCUCUGAUGUUAGCGGCGGACGGGUGAGUAACACGUGGAUAACCUACUUAUAAGACUGGGAUAACUUCGGGAAACCGGCGCUAAUACCGGAUAAUAUUUUGAACCGUAUGGUUCAAAAGUGAAAGACGGUCUUGCUGUCACUAAUAGAUGGAUCCGCGCUGCAUUAGCUAGUUGGUAAGGUAACGGCUUACCAAGGCAACGAUGCAUAGCCGACCUGAGAGGGUGAUCGGCCACACUGGAGCUGAGACACGGUCCAGACUCCUACGGGAGGCAGCAGUAGGGAAUCUUCCGCAAUGGGCGAAAGCCUGACGGAGCAACGCCGCGUGAGUGAUGAAGGUCUUCGGAUCGUAAAACUCUGUUAUUAGGGAAGAACAUAUGUGUAAGUAACUGUGCACAUCUUGACGGUACCUAAUCAGAAAGCCACGGCUAACUACGUG